rnacentral:lncRNA from 1 species
UAGGAAAUACACUUAAUCUAAGCAAGGGGCCUUGGGGCAUUAGAGAUGGUAUACAACCGUUGGAACGUAAUUUAGGCACAUUAUGAAUGUAGUCAUUUAUGUAUGCAAGUGUUUUGAUUUCUCUUUAUAUUCUUCUAAGUGUAGGGAUAUUCUGAUUAUCCAUUUGAAGUGAAUGAUCAUUUAAAACUUGUGGUGAUUGCUCGUCAAAACUUGAUGUUAGAGAUGGUUCUAAACGUGAAUGACUAUCAGAAAGAUAAUUGUUGUAAGGUGAUAUAGUUGGGAUACUAAUAGGUGACAAUUCAUUGUCCAUGUGACUUGCACCAUAUGGAUUAUAAUUGUUGUAAGGUGAUAUAGUUGGGUACU